rnacentral:rRNA from 1 species
GACGAACGCUGGCGGCGUGCUUAACACAUGCAAGUCGAACGGAAAGGCCCUGCUUUUGUGGGGUGCUCGAGUGGCGAACGGGUGAGUAACACGUGAGUAACCUGCCCUUGACUUUGGGAUAACUUCAGGAAACUGGGGCUAAUACCGGAUAGGAGCUCCUGCUGCAUGGUGGGGGUUGGAAAGUUUCGGCGGUUGGGGAUGGACUCGCGGCUUAUCAGCUUGUUGGUGGGGUAGUGGCUUACCAAGGCUUUGACGGGUAGCCGGCCUGAGAGGGUGACCGGCCACAUUGGGACUGAGAUACGGCCCAGACUCCUACGGGAGGCAGCAGUGGGGAAUAUUGCACAAUGGGCGGAAGCCUGAUGCAGCAACGCCGCGUGCGGGAUGACGGCCUUCGGGUUGUAAACCGCUUUCGCCUGUGACGAAGCGUGAGUGACGGUAAUGGGUAAAGAAGCACCGGCUAACUACGUGCCAGCAGCCGCGGUGAUACGUAGGGUGCGAGCGUUGUCCGGAUUUAUUGGGCGUAAAGGGCUCGUAGGUGGUUGAUCGCGUCGGAAGUGUAAUCUUGGGGCUUAACCCUGAGCGUGCUUUCGAUACGGGUUGACUUGAGGAAGGUAGGGGAGAAUGGAAUUCCUGGUGGAGCGGUGGAAUGCGCAGAUAUCAGGAGGAACACCAGUGGCGAAGGCGGUUCUCUGGGCCUUUCCUGACGCUGAGGAGCGAAAGCGUGGGGAGCGAACAGGCUUAGAUACCCUGGUAGUCCACGCUGUAAACGGUGGGUACUAGGUGUGGGGUCCAUUCCACGGGUUCCGUGCCGUAGCUAACGCUUUAAGUACCCCGCCUGGGGAGUACGGCCGCAAGGCUAAAACUCAAAGGAAUUGACGGGGCCUCGCACAAGCGGCGGAGCAUGCGGAUUAAUUCGAUGCAACGCGUAGAACCUUACCUGGGUUUGACAUGGAUCGGGAGUGCUCAGAGAUGGGUGUGCCUCUUUUGGGGUCGGUUCACAGGUGGUGCAUGGCUGUCGUCAGCCCGUGUCGUGAGAUGUUGGGUUAAGUCCCGCAACGAGCGCAACCCUUGUUCACUGUUGCCAGCACGUUAUGGUGGGGACUCAGUGGAGACCGCCGGGGUCAACUCGGAGGAAGGUGGGGAUGACGUCAAGUCAUCAUGCCCCUUAUGUCCAGGGCUUCACGCAUGCUACAAUGGCUGGUACAGAGAGUGGCGAGCCUGUGAGGGUGAGCGAAUCUCGGAAAGCCGGUCUCAGUUCGGAUUGGGGUCUGCAACUCGACCUCAUGAAGUCGGAGUCGCUAGUAAUCGCAGAUCAGCAACGCUGCGGUGAAUACGUUCCCGGGGCU